rnacentral:tRNA from 1 species
GAGGUUAUAGCUCAGUGGUGGAGUGUGUGCUUAGCAUGCACAAGAUCCUGGGCUCAAUCCCCAGUACCUCCA